ACCCUUGAUAAACUGCUUGCAACCAAUUUCUUGCAAAUUUCCCUUUUACUGAAAAUUUGUAUUUGGGUGGGGGAGAGGGUCUUUGAGAGUUUAUUGGGCAUUUUUUUCUUAGUGCAAGUUAGUGCUAACUUAGUUCUGUUUUUCUCUCUUCUCUCACCCUCCCUUUUUUUUUAUUAAAAAAAACCCCAACAGUUAUUCCCUGCAAUAGAGCAGCAAUGGUCCUUCGGUCAACCAACGGAUGCCAGUUUAUCAGUGUUUGCAGAAGAAUUUUGCAGCAAGGAAGUUUCUGAGUCUUCUGCAUUCUGCAUGAGCCGUCAGUGGUGCAAAAGUGCUUAUAGUGCAGGAGCCGAAGGUGGUGCACGUGGCUCUCUUCAUUUUGUCCUCACAAGAGCUCUGUGAGGGAGAUUAGGAUGAGUGACCGUGACCAGCCCUGGGUCACCCAGUGAGCUUGAUGGCUGAGUGAAGGUUAGUCCAAAACUCUAACCACUGCACCACCAUGAGCUCUCCCUUUUUAUUGCUCGCCUCUGAAAUGGUUAUGGAGGGCUGAUUUUUUUUAAAAAAGCAUUCUUUUAUUUACGUUUGUAUUUUUGUGUGAUGUUUUGCAUGGUUUUAUGCAAUAAACUGGGAACUUGGUAUUGCAGACCUUUUAUAUCUGAGCUGCUUCAGCCCCUUGGGAGUUUUGCAGUAACUCAGACUCUUCACCAGCUUGCCUAAAUUCUA